UACGUAGGGUGCGAGCGUUAAUCGGAAUUACUGGGCGUAAAGCGUGCGCAGGCGGUCUGUUAAGACAGAUGUGAAAUCCCCGGGCUUAACCUGGGAACUGCAUUUGUGACUGGCAGGCUAGAGUAUGGCAGAGGGGGGUAGAAUUCCACGUGUAGCAGUGAAAUGCGUAGAGAUGUGGAGGAAUACCGAUGGCGAAGGCAGCCCCCUGGGCCAAUACUGACGCUCAUGCACGAAAGCGUGGGGAGCAAAC
rnacentral:rRNA from 1 species